GCCUGGGUGGCUUAGUUGGUUAAGUGUCUGACUUCAGCUCAGGUCAUGAUCCCAUGAAUCGUGGGUUUGAGCCCCACCUUGGGCU
rnacentral:tRNA from 1 species